rnacentral:rRNA from 1 species
ACACUCCUACGGGAGGCAGCAGUGGGGAAUAUUGGACAAUGGGCGCAAGCCUGAUCCAGCCAUGCCGCGUGAGUGAUGAAGGCCCUAGGGUUGUAAAGCUCUUUCACCGGUGAAGAUAAUGACGGUAACCGGAGAAGAAGCCCCGGCUAACUUCGUGCCAGCAGCCGCGGUAAUACGAAGGGGGCUAGCGUUGUUCGGAUUUACUGGGCGUAAAGCGCACGGAGGCGGACUAUUAAGUCAGGGGUGAAAUCCCGGGGCUCAACCCCGGAACUGCCUUUGAUACUGGUAGUCUUGAGUUCGAGAGAGGUGAGUGGAAUUCCGAGUGUAGAGGUGAAAUUCGUAGAUAUUCGGAGGAACACCAGUGGCGAAGGCGGCUCACUGGCUCGAUACUGACGCUGAGGUGCGAAAGCGUGGGGAGCAAACAGGAUUAGAAACCCUGGUAGUCC